GGAUGCGUGCCGGAGAGGCCUAUCGGCGCUGUUUCGAAAACAGAUGGUCGCGCAAGCGGCACGAGCGUUCGAUUCGCUCCGCAUCCGCCA
rnacentral:tRNA from 1 species